rnacentral:rRNA from 1 species
CACGGUACAGGUCUUCGGAUGCUGACGAGUGGCGAACGGGUGAGUAAUACAUCGGAACGUGCCCGAUCGUGGGGGAUAACGGAGCGAAAGCUUUGCUAAUACCGCAUACGAUCUACGGAUGAAAGCAGGGGACCGCAAGGCCUUGCGCGGACGGAGCGGCCGAUGGCAGAUUAGGUAGUUGGUGGGAUAAAAGCUUACCAAGCCGACGAUCUGUAGCUGGUCUGAGAGGACGACCAGCCACACUGGGACUGAGACACGGCCCAGACUCCUACGGGAGGCAGCAGUGGGGAAUUUUGGACAAUGGGCGAAAGCCUGAUCCAGCCAUGCCGCGUGCAGGAUGAAGGCCUUCGGGUUGUAAACUGCUUUUGUACGGAACGAAAAGACUCCUUCUAAUAAGGGGGUCCAUGACGGUACCGUAAGAUAAGCACCGGCUAACUACGUGCCAGCAGCCGCGGUAAUACGUAGGGUGCAGCGUUAUCGGAUUACUGGCGUAAGCGUGCGCAGGCGGUUAUAUAGACAGAUGUGAAUCCCCGGGCUCACCUGGACUGCAUUUGUGACUGUAUAGCUAGAGUACGGUAG